rnacentral:rRNA from 1 species
GACGUAGGGCGCGAGCGUUGUCCGGAUUUAUUGGGCGUAAAGAGCUCGUAGGCGGCUUGUCGCGUCGUCCGUGAAAACCUGCAGCUCAACUGCAGGCUUGCGGUCGAUACGGGCAGGCUAGAGUUCGGUAGGGGGGGACUGGAAUUCCUGGUGUAGCGGUGAAAUGCGCAGAUAUCAGGAGGAACACCGAUGGCGAAGGCAGGUCUCUGGGCCGAUACUGACGCUGAGGAGCGAAAGCGUGGGGAGCGAACAGG